UGCACCACAACUAUAAAAAGCCAGCAUCAAUGGAGCCCCGAUUCGACGAGUCACCAUGGCAACGGGGAAGAGGAGGGCGGCGUUUUUUACCCCGCUGGAACUAGAAAUCUUAAUUUGCUCAUACGGCGAGUUUCAACACAUUUUAAAAAAGGAAGUGCAACACUGCUGCAGCUGCGAAAGAGAGGUAGACGGCGUGGGAGAACAUUGCCGCUCGGGUCAAUGCGUGCAAUCCGGCUGGGGAGAAGCACACUUGGCAGCAGCUCAAGAUGAAAUAUAAAAACAUUGUUCAAACAGCCAACAGAAAGAAGGCAGAUGCCCGUAAAACGGGUGGU